UACGGGGGGGGGCACGCGUUGUUCGGACUUACUGGGCGUAACGGGCUCGUAGGCGGCCAACUAAGUCGGACGUGAAAUCCCCAGGCUCAACCUGGGAACUGCGUCCGAUACUGGAUGGCUUGAAUCCGGGAGAGGGAUGCAGAAUUCCAGGUGUAGCGGUGAAAUGCGUAGAUAUCUGGAGGAAUACCGGUGGCGAAGGCGGCAUCCUGGACCGGCAUUGACGCUGAGGAGCGAAAGCCAGGGGAGCAAACGGG
rnacentral:rRNA from 1 species